AACGAACGCUGGCGGCAGGCUUAACACAUGCAAGUCGAGCGCCCCGCAAGGGGAGCGGCAGACGGGUGAGUAACGCGUGGGAAUCUACCCAUCUCUACGGAAUAACGCAUGGAAACGUGUGCUAAUACCGUAUACGUCCUUCGGGAGAAAGAUUUAUCGGAGAUGGAUGAGCCCGCGUUGGAUUAGCUAGUUGGUGGGGUAAAGGCCUACCAAGGCGACGAUCCAUAGCUGGUCUGAGAGGAUGAUCAGCCACACUGGGACUGAGACACGGCCCAGACUCCGACGGGAGGCAGCAGUGGGGAAUAUUGGACAAUGGGCGCAUGCCUGAUCCAGCCAUGCCGCGUGAGUGAUGAAGGCCCUAGGGUUGUAAAGCUCUUUCACCGGUGAAGAUAAUGACGGUAACCGGAGAAGAAGCCCCGGCUAACUUCGUGCCAGCAGCCGCAGUAACAC
rnacentral:rRNA from 1 species